rnacentral:rRNA from 1 species
UACAGAGGGUGCGAGCGUUAAUCGGAAUUACUGGGCGUAAAGCGUGCGUAGACGGUAGCGUAAGUCGGGUGUGAAAGCCCCCGGGCUCAACCUGGGAAUUGCAUUCGAGACUGCUCUGCUAGGGUGCGGAAGAGGGGAGCGGAAUUUCCGGUGUAGCGGUGAAAUGACGUAGAUAUCGGAAGGAACACCAGUGGCGAAAGCGGCUCCCUGGUCCAGCACCGACGUUCAGGCACGAAAGCGUGGGGAGCAAACAGG